rnacentral:rRNA from 1 species
AUUGAACGCUGGCGGAAUGCUUUACGCAUGCAAGUCGAACGAUGAGACCUAGCUUGCUAGGUUGAUUAGUGGCGAACGGGUGAGUAAUGUAUCGGAACGUAUCCAAUAAUGGGGGAUAACUAACCGAAAGGUUAGCUAAUACCGCAUACGCCCUACGGGGGAAAGCAGGGGAUCUUCGGACCUUGCGUUAAUGGAGCGGCCGAUAUCUGAUUAGCUAGCUGGUGAGGUAAAGGCUCACCAAGGCGACGAUCAGUAGCUGGUCUGAGAGGACGACCAGCCACACUGGAACUGAGACACGGUCCAGACUCCUACGGGAGGCAGCAGUGGGGAAUUUUGGACAAUGGGCGAAAGCCUGAUCCAGCCAUUCCGCGUGAGUGAAGAUGGCCUUCGGGUUGUAAAGCUCUUUCGCAAGGGAAGAAAACUUACUUUCUAAUAAAGAGUGAGGUUGACGGUACCUUGAUAAGAAGCACCGGCUAACUACGUGCCAGCAGCCGCCGUAA